GAUGAACGCUAGCUACAGGCCUAACACAUGCAAGUCGAGGGGCAUCGGGAGGGAAGCUUGCUUCCCUUGCCGGCGACCGGCGCACGGGUGAGUAACGCGUAUCGAACCUGCCCCAUACCCGGGGAUAGCCUUCUGAAAGGAAGAUUAAUACAAGAUGGCAUCAUGAGUCCGCAUGUUCACAUGAUUAAAGGUAUUCCGGUAGACGAUGGGGAUGCGUUCCAUUAGAUAGUAGGCGGGGUAACGGCCCACCUAGUCUUCGAUGGAUAGGGGUUCUGAGAGGAAGGUCCCCCACAUUGGAACUGAGACACGGUCCAA
rnacentral:rRNA from 1 species